GCUCGGUUCGUCUAGCUGGUCCAGGACGCAAGAUUCUCAUUCUUGAAAUCAUGGGUUCGAAUCCCAUACCGAGUA
rnacentral:tRNA from 1 species